CCAUAUCACCUUUGCCUUCUAUCUUCCUUGGAUUUCUUCAGGUCUCAGCUGCAAUUCUCAGCAAAACAAAGAUCCAAGACAAUUAAAAAGGCUUUGUGAUAGAGAUAGAGAAGAUGUUUAAAUGACUGAAUUCCGUCUAUCCUGAAUGUAACCCAAUCCAGGAAAACUCGGGAGGAUCAGUGGUCAUGAACAUUGGUGAGCCAGAAUGUGGGCAGUUCACUGAAGUUCAGAAAGGUUAAAUGAUAUAUGAUCACACUGGUGAAUAGGCUACAAGAAGUUAAAUUCAUGGAAUUUAGAACUGAUUUUCUUCUCACUCCAAACCAGAAAAGGAAGUCCGUCAUCCUAAUCCUUUCCCACCUACAAGCUGUUGCUCAAAUCCAUGUGAAUGUAUGACACACCAUGUAAUGACAGCAUCAUCAAGGUCCAGUGGCAGGACAAAAUUCAAGACCCCUGAGGAUGGCUUGGGAUGCAGUAGAUGACCUUGGCUUUUACAGUGGUUAAUUAAGCUCUUAAGCACUCCACAAUGAAUGCUUCCACAGCUUUCAUGACCAUUGGAACAAAUUGUUCUCAUCUGCCCAUGUUACCUGAGGUAAUCUUUACAUGCCUGGGAUAAACACAGUACUAACUUACUGAUGAGUUUAAAACUUGUUGGUUACUCUCAACGUGGUUUAUCCCACUUGUCAACAUGGUUUGGAUAUUUUGCAUGCCUCAGCUUCUUGGAGCCACAGAUAAGAGCUGAUUGAUACCAAAGAAAGAAAAUAGUCCUAAAAAGAGAUUUACAAGUCCUCACACUAGAAGUACUAGUCUUCCCUGAAUACUCCAUCUACUCCAAAGUAGGAACUUAAAUUCUUGUGGAUGGAUUGAUAGUAUCUAUCAGUAUUGCUUUUGAAACUUCUAAGUAGGAUUGCUAGUGACACUGUAAAAUAUAAAGGACAGUUCAAGGGCUUUCAAAAGAAUCAUGUUCUUUCCAAGUCUAUGGAAAGCAAUGCUUAGGUGCUACUGUGCACCAAAAGUCCCUGAAAAUCCAUUCAGGGUGUGUUCAGAAGUUUAUAGGAAUAUGGUCUUAAAUAAAUCACGAUCAUAAAAUUGAGAAGGGCUCUUA
ensembl:lncRNA